UGACUUGAUAGGGUCCGAAGUAAUCGAGGC
rnacentral:sRNA from 1 species